rnacentral:rRNA from 1 species
UGCCGGCCGCGAUUCGCCCUUCCGGAGAAGGAGCCUGAGAAACGGCUACCACAUCCAAGGAAGGCAGCAGGCGCGCAGAUUACCCAAUCCCGACACGGGGAGGUAGUGACAAUAAAUACUGAUACGGGGCUCUUUUGGGUCUCGUAAUUGGAAUGAGUACAAUCUAAAUCCCUUAACGAGGAACAAUUGGAGGGCAAGUCUGGUGCCAGCAGCCGCGGUAAUUCCAGCUCCAAUAGCGUAUAUUAAAGUUGUUGCAGUUAAAAAGCUCGUAGUUGAACCUUGGGUCUGGCUGGCCGGUCCGCCUCACCGCGAGUACUGGUUCGGCUGGACCUUUCCUUCUGGGGAACCUCAUGGCCUUCACUGGCUGUGGGGGGAACCAGGACUUUUACUGUGAAAAAAUUAGAGUGUUCAAAGCAGGCCUUUGCUCGAAUACAUUAGCAUGGAAUAAUAGAAUAGGACGUGCGGUUCUAUUUUGUUGGUUUCUAGGACCGCCGUAAUGAUUAAUAGGGAUAGUCGGGGGCGUCAGUAUUCAGUAGUCAGAGGUGAAAUUCUUGGAUUUACUGAAGACUAACUACUGCGAAAGCAUUCGCCAAGGAUGUUUUCAUUAAUCAGGGAACGAAAGUUAGGGGAUCGAAGACGAUCAGAUACCGUCGUAGUCUUAACCAUAAACUAUGCCGACUAGGGAUCGGGCGGUGUUUCUAUAAUGACCCGCUCGGUACCUUACGAGAAAUCAAAGUUUUUGGGUUCUGGGGGGAGUAUGGUCGCAAGGCUGAAACUUAAAGAAAUUGACGGAAGGGCACCACAAGGCGUGGAGCCUGCGGCUUAAUUUGACUCAACACGGGGAAACUCACCAGGUCCAGACAAAAUAAGGAUUGACAGAUUGAGAGCUCUUUCUUGAUCUUUUGGAUGGUGGUGCAUGGCCGUUCUUAGUUGGUGGAGUGAUUUGUCUGCUUAAUUGCGAUAACGAACGAGACCUCGGCCCUUAAAUAGCCCGGUCCGCAUUUGCGGGCCGCUGGCUUCUUAGGGGGACUAUCGGCUCAAGCCGAUGGAAGUGCGCGGCAAUAACAGGUCUGUGAUGCCCUUAGAUGUCUGGGCCGCACGCGCGCUACACUGACAGGUCAGCGAGUACAUCACUUGACGAGAGUCGGGUAUCUGUAAACCCUGUCUGCUGGGGAUGAGCAUGCAUAUGCUCUCACGAAAUGCUAGCUAGGCCUCCGAGUCAUCAGGCUCGUGCGAUACCGUUUCCUGCCCAUGUAAAACAACGAC